GACGAACGCUGGCGGCGUGCUUAACACAUGCAAGUCGAACGGAAAGGCCCUGCUUUUGUGGGGUGCUCGAGUGGCGAACGGGUGAGUAACACGUGAGUAACCUGCCCUUGACUUUGGGAUAACUUCAGGAAACUGGGGCUAAUACCGGAUAGGAGCUCCUGCUGCAUGGUGGGGGUUGGAAAGUUUCGGCGGUUGGGGAUGGACUCGCGGCUUAUCAGCUUGUUGGUGGGGUAGUGGUUUACCAAGGCCUUGACGGGGAGCCGGCCUGAGAGGGUGACCGGCCACAUUGGAACUGAGAUACGACCCAGACUCCUACAGGAGGCAGCAGUGGGGAAUAUUGCACAAUGAGCGGAAGCCUGAUGCAGCAACGCCGCGUGCGGGAUGACGGCCUUCGGGUUGUAAACCGCUUUCGCCUGUAACGAAGCGUGAGUGACGGUAAUGGGUAAAGAAGCACCGGCUAACUACGUG
rnacentral:rRNA from 1 species